AUGGCUGAAGGGCCGUUGGACUUCUGGAUCAACUGGGGGAGCCAGAUCGGGGUUCUCUUGAGCCUGGCCUUCCAGGUCAUCCUUCAUCUCUUUGCCAAUGUACGUCGGCGUAGUAACUCAGCUAUGCUGAGGGUUCCCCUCUGGCUGGCGUACCAGUUGUCGGACAUGACCGCGAUAUAUGCUGCCGGCCAGCUCCUAUACAGCAGCAACACACCGCAAGACCACCAGCUCAUUGCCUUGUGGGCACCAUUCCUCCUGCUGCACCUUGGUGGCCCGGACAACAUCACCGCCUAUGCCCUCGAGGAUAGCAAGCUUUGGAAGCGUCACUUGCUGAUCCUUGUGGUGCAGGUUGCGGGAGCCGGAUAUGUGCUCUAUAAGUACAUCGCCGGCAGUGGGAUCUUGCUCACACUGGCUGCCAUCUUGAUACUCAUUGUUGGUGUUGCAAAGUAUGGGGAGAGGACAUGGGCACUCCGUUCCGCCAACCUCAGCAUCCUUCAGAGCUCUUUCAAGGCGCAGGCACGUGAUAAGCAUCACACACAUUUUUACAUUGAGCAUCAAGACUGGCACAACGACUUGGAGGACGAGCUUGUCCUGCAACGUGCUCAUUCCCUGUUUCAUAUCUGCAAGCGCGGGAUAGUUGAUUCAGUGGUCGAGGUGGACCCAGAUGGCCCGACUGAGGAAAAGGAAAUAAUCCGGGGCCUUAGGGGAAACCCUGAGCGAAUGUGGAAGGUGAUGCAGAUGGAGCUCUCCCUGAUGUACGACAUCCUGUACACCAAGGCAGGUGUGAUUCACUCUAUGGUUGGCUACUGCAUCCGUGUCAUGUCGCCGCUUGCCAUCGCCACCUCGCUCGUGUUGUUCCAGUUGAGCGGCAAAGAUAGUUACAGCCAACUCGAUGUGGACAUCACGUACACCUUGUUCGGUGGCGCCUUGGUCCUAGAGAUGAAAUCGCUCCUUGGUGCACUAGGGUCAAGCUGGGCGCUUGCCUUCUUGUGUUCCACGCGAUGGGAUUGGCUCCGGCAUUCAGUAUUGUGCACUGGAAGAUGGCAUCAGGUCCGGCGCUCAGUCAUUUCAUUUCGCCGGUCCUGGCCUGGCAAGAUAAUUAUGAAAGGAAGCUCGAGGGAGUGGUCAGGCACCAUGGGGCAGCACAACAUGCUGCGGUUUCGUGCCGGACAGGUGGAUCCGAUGAGUCGCCGACUCGGUAAUCUGCUCAACAUGCUGAUGCUCGGUGGGCAGUGGGACAGGAGGUACUACUCAUGCACUGUCGUUGUCCCGGAGAAUGUCAUGAAGGAUGCACAGAGGGUGGGCAGGUGGGUCUCACGGGAUGAUAUAAACACAAUGGGCUUGCUCAGGCAUAAUUGGGGUGAAUCAGCACUGGCUGACAGAUAUUACCCUGGGCUGUACAAGAAAUUGGAAGAGUAUCAUGGAGUUGACUUCCAUGAGAGCGUCAUGUGCUGGCACAUUGCCACCGACUUGAUUCUUGCAAAGGAGGAAAAGGAAAAGGAAGAUUUUGCAGCUGACAAGCUCAGGGCACUGUCCAACUACAUGAUGUUCCUCCUCGUGAACAGGCCCUACAUGCUACCAGGCCUUCCUCAAAAUUGGCUGUACAAGCAAACCUGCAACAAUCUGGACAAGAUAUGCAAUGACUAUGAUCUCGUCGGUUCUCUGGGCGACAGCUUGUGGACUGUGCUCAAGAAAUUGCUCGGACUGCACCAUCACAGUGUCUUGGAAUCUUCUGGGCUUGAGAAGAAGCUCGCUGACCUCAUAAUGAAGUUACCGAAGGAACAUGCAAGCUCUUUUUCUGAAACUCCUCGACUCUUGUAUGCACGCAGUGUUGCUGUUAUAAUACUUGAAAGUGGGGUAGUAGAUAAGGUGCGUCUGCUGCUAGAUUUGUGGAUGGACUUCCUAGCCUAUGCAGCCAACCGGUGCAUCAGGGAGUCGCAUGCCCAGAAGCUUAGCACCGGCGGUGAGCUCGUGACCAUCGUGUGGCUUAUUUUAGAACACCUCCGCUAUUUAAAAGAAGACCCAAACCAGCAGCAUGGCCAUGUAUAA
rnacentral:rRNA from 1 species